rnacentral:rRNA from 1 species
UACGAAGGGGGCUAGCGUUGCUCGGAAUCACUGGGCGUAAAGCGCACGUAGGCGGACUCUUAAGUCAGGGGUGAAAUCCUGGAGCUCAACUCCAGAACUGCCUUUGAUACUGGGAGUCUCGAGUUCGGGAGAGGUGAGUGGAACUGCGAGUGUAGAGGUGAAAUUCGUAGAUAUUCGCAAGAACACCAGUGGCGAAGGCGGCUCACUGGCCCGAUACUGACGCUGAGGUGCGAAAGCGUGGGGAGCAAACAGU